rnacentral:rRNA from 1 species
AUACGUAGGGGGCGAGCGUUGUCCGGAAUGACUGGGCGUAAAGGGCGCGUAGACGGCUGUCUAAGUCUGGAGUGAAAGUCCUGCUUUCAAGGUGGGAAUUGCUUUGGAGACUGGGUGGCUUGAGUGCGGAAGAGGUAAGUGGAAUUCCCAGUGUAGCGGUGAAAUGCGUAGAGAUUGGGAGGAACACCAGUGGCGAAGGCGACUUACUGGGCCGUAACUGGCGUUGAUGCGCGAAAGCGUGGGGAGCGAACAGGAUUAGAUACCCUGGUAGUCCACGCGGUAAACGAUGAGUGCUAGGUGUAGCGGGUAUCGACCCCUGCUGUGCCGCAGUAAACACAGUAAGCAUUCCGCCUGGGGAGUACGGUCGCAAGAUUAAAACUCAAAUGAAUUGACGGGG